rnacentral:rRNA from 1 species
AGAGUUUGAUCAUGGCUCAGGAUGAACGCUAGCUACAGGCUUAACACAUGCAAGUCGAACGAGAGAUGAGGAGCUUGCUCUUCAAAUCGAGUGGCGAACGGGUGAGUAACGCGUGAGGAACCUGCCUCAAAGAGGGGGACAACAGUUGGAAACGACUGCUAAUACCGCAUAAGCCCACGGCUCGGCAUCGAGCAGAGGGAAAAGGAGUGAUCCGCUUUGAGAUGGCCUCGCGUCCGAUUAGCUAGUUGGUGAGGUAACGGCCCACCAAGGCAACGAUCGGUAGCCGGACUGAGAGGUUGAACGGCCACAUUGGGACUGAGACACGGCCCAGACUCCUACGGGAGGCAGCA